rnacentral:rRNA from 1 species
UACGGAGGAUCCAAGCGUUAUCCGGAUUUAUUGGGUUUAAAGGGUGCGUAGGCGGCUUAUUAAGUCAGGGGUGAAAGACGGUGGCUCAACCAUCGCAGUGCCCUUGAUACUGAUGAGCUUGAAUACACUUGAGGUAGGCGGAAUGUGACAAGUAGCGGUGAAAUGCAUAGAUAUGUCACAGAACACCAAUUGCGAAGGCAGCUUACUAAGGUGCAAUUGACGCUGAGGCACGAAAGCGUGGGGAGCAAACGGG